AGCAGCCGCGGUAAUUCCAGCUCCAAUAGCGUAUAUUAAAGUUGUUGCAGUUAAAAAGCUCGUAGUUGAAUUUCGGGAUCAGUUGGUCGGUCGUGCCUCGGUACGUACUGGUCAAAUUGAUUCCUACCUUCUGACGAAUCACGAUGUCAUUAAUUUGGUGUCGCGGGAAAUCAGGACUGUUACUUUGAAAAAUUAGAGUGUUUAAAGCAGGCUCGCGCUUGAAUACAUUAGCAUGGAAUAAUGAAAUAGGACGUUUUGAUUCUAUUUUGUUGGUUUUCUAGGAUCGACGUAAUGAUUAAUAGGGAUAGUUGGGGGCAUUAGUAUUCAAUUGUCAGAGGUGAAAUUCUUGGAUUUUAUUGAAGACUAACUACUGCGAAAGCAUUUGCCAAGGAUGUUUUCAUUAAUCAAGAACGAAAGUUAGGGGAUCGAAGACGAUCAGAUACCGUCGUAGUCUUAACCAUAAACUAUGCCGA
rnacentral:sRNA from 1 species